rnacentral:rRNA from 1 species
AGCAUAUCAAUAAGCGGAGGAAAAGAAACCAACAGGGAUUGCCCCAGUAACGGCGAGUGAAGCGGCAACAGCUCAAAUUUGAAAUCUGGCCUUCGGGUCCGAGUUGUAAUUUGUAGAGGAUGCUUUUGGCGAGGUGCCUUCCGAGUUCCCUGGAACGGGACGCCAUAGAGGGUGAGAGCCCCGUCUGGUCGGAUACCAAGCCUCUGUAAAGCUCCUUCGACGAGUCGAGUAGUUUGGGAAUGCUGCUCAAAAUGGGAGGUAUAUGUCUUCUAAAGCUAAAUAUUGGCCAGAGACCGAUAGCGCACAAGUAGAGUGAUCGAAAGAUGAAAAGCACUUUGAAAAGAGGGUUAAAAAGUACGUGAAAUUGUUGAAAGGGAAGCGCCUAUGACCAGACUUGGGCCCGGUGAAUCAUCCAGCGUUCUCGCUGGUGCACUUUGCCGGGCACAGGCCAGCAUCAGUUUGGCGCGGGGGAUAAAGGCUUUGGGAAUGUGGCUCCCUCGGGAGUGUUAUAACCCAUUGCGCAAUACCCUGCGCCGGACUGAGGUACGCGCAUCNNNNNNAUGCNGGCGUAAUGGUCAUCAGCGACCCGUC